rnacentral:rRNA from 5 species
CCUGGCGGCACUAGCGCGGUGGUCCCACCUGACCCCAUGCCGAACUCAGAAGUGAAACGCCGUAGCGCCGAUGGUAGUGUGGGGUCUCCCCAUGCGAGAGUAGGGAACUGCCAGGU